rnacentral:rRNA from 1 species
GCAACUCGACUGCAUGAAGCUGGAAUCGCUAGUAAUCGCGGAUCAGAAUGCCGCGGUGAAUACGUUCCCGGGUCUUGUACACACCGCCCGUCACACCAUGGGAGUCGGAUAUGCCCGAAGUCAGUGACCCAACCGCAAGGAGGGAGCUGCCGAAGGUGGAGCCGAUGACUGGGGUGAAGUCGUAACAAGGUAGC